rnacentral:rRNA from 1 species
CCUACGGGAGGCAGCAGUGGGGAAUAUUGCACAAUGGGGGAAACCCUGAUGCAGCGACGCCGCGUGAGUGAAGAAGGAUUUCGGUAUGUAAAGCUCUAUUAGUAGGGAAGAAGAAUGACGGUACCUGACUAAGAAGCGCCGGCUAACUAAGUGCAAGCAGCCGCGGUACGACGGAGGUGGCAAGCGUUAUCCGGUUUUACUGGGUGUAAAGGGAGCGUAGACGGCUGUGCAAGUCGGAAGUGAAAGGCCAGGGCCCAACCCUGGGACUGCGUUGGAAACUGUGGGGCUAGAGUGCUGGAGGGGUAAGUGGAAUUCCUGGUGUAGCGGUGAAAUGCGUAGAUAUUAGGAGGAACACCAGUGGCGAAGGCGGCUUACUGGACAGUAACUGACGUUGAGGCUCGAAAGCGUGGGGAGCAAACAGGAUUAGAUACCCCUGUAGUC